UGGGGAAUAUUGCACAAUGGGCGCAAGCCUGAUGCAGCCAUGCCGCGUGUGUGAAGAAGGCCUUCGGUUGUAAAGCACUUUCAGCGAGGAGGAAGGUGGUGAGCUUAAUACGCUCAUCAAUUGACGUUACUCGCAGAAGAAGCACCGGCUAACUCCGUGCCAGCAGCCGCGGUAAUACGGAGGGUGCAAGCGUUAAUCGGAAUUACUGGGCGUAAAGCGCACGCAGGCGGUUUGUUAAGUCAGAUGUGAAAUCCCCGGGCUCAACCUGGGAACUGCAUUUGAAACUGGCAAGCUAGAGUCUCGUAGAGGGGGGUAGAAUUCCAGGUGUAGCGGUGAAAUGCGUAGAGAUCUGGAGGAAUACCGGUGGCGAAGGCGGCCCCCUGGACGAAGACUGACGCUCAGGUGCGAAAGCGUGGGGCAGCAAACAGGAUUAGAUACCCUGGUAGUCCACGCUGUAAACGAUGUCGAUUUUGGAGGUUGUG
rnacentral:rRNA from 1 species